rnacentral:miRNA from 1 species
AUCGAAUUUGAAAGAAAAAGGUAU